UACAGAGGUCCCGAGCGUUGUUCGGAUUCACUGGGCGUAAAGGGUGCGUAGGCGGCUUUUUAAGUUUGGUGUGAAAUCUCCCGGCUCAACUGGGAGGGUGCGCCGAAUACUGAGAGGCUAGAGUGUGGGAGAGGAAAGUGGAAUUCCUGGUGUAGCGGUGAAAUGCGUAGAUAUCGGGAGGAACACCUGUGGCGAAAGCGGCUCACUGGACCACAACUGACGCUGAUGCGCGAAAGCUAGGGGAGCAAACAGG
rnacentral:rRNA from 1 species